CAGUCGAACGGAGCUGCUUUGAUGAAGUUUUCGGAUGGAUUUAAAACAGCUUAGUGGCGGACGGGUGAGUAACGCGUGGGUAACCUGCCUCACACUGGGGGAUAACAGUUAGAAAUAGCUGCUAAUACCGCAUAAGCGCACGGUUCCGCAUGGAACAGUGUGAAAAACUCCGGUGGUGUGAGAUGGACCCGCGUCUGAUUAGCCAGUUGGCGGGGUAACGGCCCACCAAAGCGACGAUCAGUAGCCGGCCUGAGAGGGUGAACGGCCACAUUGGGACUGAGACACGGCCCAAACUCCUACGGGAGGCAGCAGUGGGGAGUAUUGCACAAUGGGGGAAACCCUGAUGCAGCGACGCCGCGUGAGUGAAGAAGUAUUUCGGUAUGUAAAGCUCUAUCAGCAGGGAAGAAAGUGACGGUACCUGAAUAAGAAGCCCCGGCUAACUACGUGCCAGCAGCCGCGGUAAUACGUAGGGGGCAAGCGUUAUCCGGAUUUACUGGGUGUAAAGGGAGCGUAGACGGCAAGGCAAGUCUGAAGUGAAAGCCCGGUGCUUAACGCCGGGACUGCUUUGGAAACUGUUUAGCUGGAGUGCCGGAGAGGUAAGCGGAAUUCCUAGUGUAGCGGUGAAAUGCGUAGAUAUUAGGAAGAACACCAGUGGCGAAGGCGGCUUACUGGACGGUAACUGACGUUGAGGCUCGAAAGCGUGGGGAGCAAACAGGAUUAGAUACCCUGGUAGUCCACACGGUAAACGAUGAAUACUCGCUGUUUGCGAUAUACGGCAAGCGGCCAAGCGAAAGCGUUAAGUAUUCCACCUGGGGAGUAC
rnacentral:rRNA from 1 species